rnacentral:rRNA from 1 species
AGAGUUUGAUCCUGGCUCAGGAUGAACGCUGGCGGCGUGCCUAAUACAUGCAAGUAGAACGCUGAAGCUUGGUGCUUGCACCGAGCGGAUGAGUUGCGAACGGGUGAGUAACGCGUAGGUAACCUGCCUCUUAGCGGGGGAUAACUAUUGGAAACGAUAGCUAAUACCGCAUAAAAGUCGACAUCGCAUGAUGUUGACUUGAAAGGUGCAAUUGCAUCACUAAGAGAUGGACCUGCGUUGUAUUAGCUAGUUGGUGAGGUAACGGCUCACCAAGGCGACGAUACAUAGCCGACCUGAGAGGGUGAUCGGCCACACUGGGACUGAGACACGGCCCAGACUCCUACGGGAGGCAGCAGUAGGGAAUCUUCGGCAAUGGGGGCAACCCUGACCGAGCAACGCCGCGUGAGUGAAGAAGGUUUUCGGAUCGUAAAGCUCUGUUGUAAGUCAAGAACGAGUGUGAGAGUGGAAAGUUCACACUGUGACGGUAGCUUACCAGAAAGGGACGGCUAACUACGUGCCAGCAGCCGCGGUAAUACGUAGGUCCCGAGCGUUGUCCGGAUUUAUUGGGCGUAAAGCGAGCGCAGGCGGUUUGAUAAGUCUGAAGUUAAAGGCUGUGGCUCAACCAUAGUUCGCUUUGGAAACUGUCAAACUUGAGUGCAGAAGGGGAGAGUGGAAUUCCAUGUGUAGCGGUGAAAUGCGUAGAUAUAUGGAGGAACACCGGUGGCGAAAGCGGCUCUCUGGUCUGUAACUGACGCUGAGGCUCGAAAGCGUGGGGAGCGAACAGGAUUAGAUACCCUGGUAGUCCACGCCGUAAACGAUGAGUGCUAGGUGUUGGAUCCUUUCCGGGAUUCAGUGCCGCAGCUAACGCAUUAAGCACUCCGCCUGGGGAGUACGACCGCAAGGUUGAAACUCAAAGGAAUUGACGGGGGCCCG